GUUAAGCUAGAAAGGGCGCACGGUGGAUGCCUUGGCACUAGGAGCCGAAGAAGGACGGGACGAACACCGAUAUGCCUCGGGGAGCUGUAAGUAAGCAUUGAUCCGGGGAUUUCCGAAUGGGGAAACCCGG
rnacentral:rRNA from 1 species